rnacentral:rRNA from 1 species
UAACCCGCACCACUGAUCGUGGUGGGAGACAGUGUCAGAUGGGCAGUUUGACUGGGGCGGUCGCCUCCUAAAAGGGAACGGAGGCGCCCAAAGGUUCCCUCAGAAUGGUUGGAAAUCAUUCGAAGAGUGUAAAGGCAGAAGGGAGCUUGACUGCGAGACCAACAAGUCGAGCAGGGACGAAAGUCGGGCUUAGUGAUCCGGUG